rnacentral:rRNA from 1 species
GGCACUGGCGGCGUGCUAUACAUGCAAGUCGAACGCUUUGUGGUUCAACUGAUUUGAAGAGCUUGCUCAGAUAUGACGAUGGACAUUGCAAAGAGUGGCGAACGGGUGAGUAACACGUGGGAAACCUACCUCUUAGCAGGGGAUAACAUUUGGAAACAGAUGCUAAUACCGUAUAACAAUGACAACCGCAUGGUUGUUAUUUGAAAGAUGGUUCUGCUAUCACUAAGAGAUGGUCCCGCGGUGCAUUAGCUAGUUGGUAAGGUAAUGGCUUACCAAGGCGAUGAUGCAUAGCCGAGUUGAGAGACUGAUCGGCCACAAUGGGACUGAGACACGGCCCAUACUCCUACGGGAGGCAGCAGUAGGGAAUCUUCCACAAUGGGCGAAAGCCUGAUGGAGCAACGCCGCGUGUGUGAUGAAGGGUUUCGGCUCGUAAAACACUGUUGUAAGAGAAGAAUGACAUUGAGAGUAACUGUUCAAUGUGUGACGGUAUCUUACCAGAAAGGAACGGCUAAAUACGUGCCAGCAGCCGCGGUAAUACGUAUGUUCCAAGCGUUAUCCGGAUUUAUUGGGCGUAAAGCGAGCGCAGACGGUUAUUUAAGUCUGAAGUGAAAGCCCUCAGCUCAACUGAGGAAUUGCUUUGGAAACUGGAUGACUUGAGUGCAGUAGAGGAAAGUGGAACUCCAUGUGUAGCGGUGAAAUGCGUAGAUAUAUGGAAGAACACCAGUGGCGAAGGCGGCUUUCUGGACUGUAACUGACGUUGAGGCUCGAAAGUGUGGGUAGCAAACAGGAUUAGAUACCCUGGUAGUCCACACCGUAAACGAUGAGUGCUAGGUGUUUGAGGGUUUCCGCCCUUAAGUGCCGCAGCUAACGCAUUAAGCACUCCGCCUGGGGAGUACGACCGCAAGGUUGAAACUCAAAGGAAUUGACGGGGACCCGCACAAGCGGUGGAGCAUGUGGUUUAAUUCGAAGCAACGCGAAGAACCUUACCAGGUCUUGACAUCCCUUGACAACUCCAGAGAUGGAGCGUUCCCUUCGGGGACAAGGUGACAGGUGGUGCAUGGUUGUCGUCAGCUCGUGUCGUGAGAUGUUGGGUUAAGUCCCGCAACGAGCGCAACCCUUAUUACUAGUUGCCAGCAUUCAGUUGGGCACUCUAGUGAGACUGCCGGUGACAAACCGGAGGAAGGUGGGGAUGACGUCAAAUCAUCAUGCCCCUUAUGACCUGGGCUACACACGUGCUACAAUGGCGUAUACAACGAGUUGCCAACCCGCGAGGGUGAGCUAAUCUCUUAAAGUACGUCUCAGUUCGGAUUGUAGGCUGCAACUCGCCUACAUGAAGUCGGAAUCGCUAGUAAUCGCGGAUCAGCACGCCGCGGUGAAUACGUUCCCGGGUCUUGUACACACCGCCCGUCACACCAUGAGAGUUUGUAACACCCAAAGCCGGUGGGGUAACCUUCGGGAGCCAGCCGUCUAAGGUGACAGAGUGG